rnacentral:tRNA from 1 species
UCCUGAUGGCUCAGAUGGUAAAGAAUCUGCCUGCAGUGCAGGAGACCUGGGUUCAAUCCCUGGAUCAGGAA